AUGAGUGAAUUAAUGAUGCUCCAGAAAAGAGAAGGCCUCUCAUGGAUAUCAACCAAACACAUCAUGACAAGGUGCAAUAAGAUUAGUCACAAACCCUUAUACAAGCCUGACCAAGGUAACUCAGUAGAAGGAAAAGUGUCCCAAGAGCAGGUGAAAGAGUCAGAGACACCACAGGAGGUACUGGUAGGAAUCCCACAAACAAACCAAGAUAAACAACCAAAGCAUAUUUGCAGAGUUACUGACACAGAGCCAUGCAGGCUCCACGAUUUACUCUUCACUUUCUCUGAGCCCCUAGGAGCCAUGUUAAGUUCAUUCUGUGUGAUAUGUUCUCCUGUUUUCUGGCAUUGGGGAAAUGUCCAAAGAUAUACAAGGAUGACCCCAAAUAACAUUCUACGCAAUAGUGAAAAGGUUAUCCUAAAUGCCCUUCUCAUUUAUUGAGAUUGAUGACUACUUUACAUGCCAUCCUAGAGCCUUCAUCCAGUAGUUUAUGGAAGCAGAAGCAGACACCCACAGCUAAGCACUGAACCAAAAGCCUGGAAUCCAGUUGUAGAGAGUGAGGUGUGAUGGGCAACGUAAUCAUGGCCAAUCAAGGUUAACCCACAUAAAUAGGUGACUUGAAGAUUAGGAUCUCAUUGACGUCAAACAGAUAGUUCAGAACCAGCAUAGGACAGAACUAGGCCCUCUGAAAUUGGGAGUCAGUUAGGAGAACUGGGCAUUCUAUGAUGCCUCUAGUCAUGGAAGAGAAUUUAUCUCUAGUGUACAAAUGGACAUUGGGAUCCCAUUCCACACUGAGGGUUACUUUCUCAGCCUAGACACACUGGGGAAUGACUAGGCCCUGCCACAAAUAAUGUGAUGGACUUUGAUUCCUCAUGGAAGCCCUCACCUUUUCUGUUAAGCAGAAGAGGGAUGGGAUGGGGUUCAAUGUUAGGUAUGGGUGAAUGGGGAGGGGCAUGGAGUGGGACUGGUAUAUAUAGUAAAAAUGUUUGUAAUUUAAAUGUAAAAAAAUUAGAAAACAUAAAAGAUCGUAUUCAACAGAAUUUAGAACUCUUAAUGUUACCAGGACCAGAUGUCUGAAGGAGUAAUUUACCUCCAG
rnacentral:lncRNA from 1 species